rnacentral:lncRNA from 10 species
AGAAAGCAGCCCAUCCUUUGCACCCAGCUCUCAGAUGGAAAAGUGAAGCCCAGAAGGAAGGGACCUGACACGGAGGCUUCCUUGGUAGCAUUUCAGUCUCAAGGGAAGAACUGUGGGCCUCCCCUGGAGCACUGGUGAACUGGGUCACCUCCAGAAUACGGAGGAGAGAGCUGGAGGUGGAGGAACUAAGGACCUUCUUUGCCAGGUGGGGACUUAAAGUUUCAGUUACUCAUUGUUGGGGCUCAGAAACCAAUACCCCGAAAUAUAGUGGUGUGACAUUCUGAACUGAAGAAGCCUUAAGGUCUCUCCGACCAGACUCCCACAGGCCCCCCAACCCUUUGUCUCUUCCAAAGCAUACAGUGAAGUUGUUCUCUGAAGUUCCUCAUCUGCCUUAAGUCUGGACCCACCAAAGAAGAAAACAAUGACCACUGGUCCCUUCCCGGAGUUUUCUCUGACUGAACUGCUGUCACAGGAAGAAAGACUGAAGCCUGCUCACAUACCUGGACAGAUUUUGCAAACCGUUGUCUGCUCUGUGAGCCCAACAGACUUUGUCCCAGGCCACUGUAUGUUCUUCAAGCCCACUGAAUUCCCCUGAAAAUCAUUUACUAGCCCCCUGAAAUUACCCACACUUCCCCAUUGCUCAUCUGUACCCCAUUUCGUGGUGGGGCAGUCACUCUGAUUUCCCCUUGCAUGCUAAUGAAUGUGUAUUCCAUUUCUA